rnacentral:rRNA from 1 species
CCCGACUGCUAUCAGAGUGGGACUAAGCCAUGCGAGUCAACAUAGCAAUAUGUGGCAUACGGCUCAGUAACACGUAGUCAACAUGCCCAGGGGACGUGGAUAACCUCGGGAAACUGAGGAUAAACCGCGAUAGGUCAUCACUUCUGGAAUGGGUAAUGACUUAAAUCUAUAUGGCCCCUGGAUUGGACUGCGGCCGAUCAGGCUGUUGGUGAGGUAAUGGCCCACCAAACCUGUAACCGGUACGGGCUCUGAGAGGAGGAGCCCGGAGAUGGGCACUGAGACAAGGGCCCAGGCCCUAUGGGGCGCAGCAGGCGCGAAACCUCUGCAAUAGGCGAAAGCCUGACAGGGUUACUCUGAGUGAUUCCCGCUAAGGGAAUCUUUUGGCAUCUCUAAAAAUGGUGCAGAAUAAGGGGUGGGCAAGUCUGGUGUCAGCCGCCGCGGUAAUACCAGCACCCCGAGUGGUCGGGACGAUUAUUGGGCCUAAAGCAUCCGUAGCCGGUCUUGCAAGUCUUCCGUUAAAUCCAGCUGCUUAACAGAUGGGCUGCGGAGGAUACUACAAGGCUAGGAGGCGGGAGAGGCAAGCGGUACUCAGUGGGUAGGGGUAAAAUCCUCUGAUCCAUUGAAGACCACCAGUGGCGAAGGCGGCUUGCCAGAACGCGCUCGACGGUGAGGGAUGAAAGCUGGGGGAGCAAACCGGAUUAGAUACCCGGGUAGUCCCAGCUGUAAACGAUGCAGACUCGGUGAUGGGCCGGCUUUAUGCCGGCUCAGUGCCGCAGGGAAGCCGUUAAGUCUGCCGCCUGGGGAGUACGGUCGCAAGACUGAAACUUAAAGGAAUUGGCGGGGGAGCACCACAAGGGGUGAAGCCUGCGGUUC